rnacentral:rRNA from 1 species
GACGAACGCUGGCGGCGUGCUUAACACAUGCAAGUCGAACGGAAAGGCCCUGCUUUUGUGGGGUGCUCGAGUGGCGAACGGGUGAGUAACACGUGAGUAACCUGCCCUUGACUUUGGGAUAACUUCAGGAAACUGGGGCUAAUACCGGAUAGGAGCUCCUGCUGCAUGGUGGGGGUUGGAAAGUUUCGGCGGUUGGGGAUGGACUCGCGGCUUAUCAGCUUGUUGGUGGGGUAGUGGCUUACCAAGGCUUUGACGGGUAGCCGGCCUGAGAGGGUGACCGGCCACAUUGGGACUGAGAUACGGCCCAGACUCCUACGGGAGGCAGCAGUGGGGAAUAUUGCACAAUGGGCGGAAGCCUGAUGCAGCAACGCCGCGUGCGGGAUGACGGCCUUCGGGUUGUAAACCGCUUUCGCCUGUGACGAAGCGUGAGUGACGGUAAUGGGUAAAGAAGCACCGGCUAACUACGUGCCAGCAGCCGCGGUGAUACGUAGGGUGCGAGCGUUGUCCGGAUUUAUUGGGCGUAAAGGGCUCGUAGGUGGUUGAUCGCGUCGGAAGUGUAAUCUUGGGGCUUAACCCUGAGCGUGCCUUCGAUACGGGUUGACUUGAGGAAGGUAGGGGAGAAUGGAAUUCCUGGUGGAGCGGUGGAAUGCGCAGAUAUCAGGAGGAACACCAGUGGCGAAGGCGGUUCUCUGGGCCUUUCCUGACGCUGAGGAGCGAAAGCGUGGGGAGCGAACAGGCUUAGAUACCCUGGUAGUCCACGCUGUAAACGGUGGGUACUAGGUGUGGGGUCCAUUCCACGGGUUCCGUGCCGUAGCUAACGCUUUAAGUACCCCGCCUGGGGAGUACGGCCGCAAGGCUAAAACUCAAAGGAAUUGACGGGGCCCCGCACAAGCGGCGGAGCAUGCGGAUUAAUUCGAUGCAACGCGUAGAACCUUACCUGGGUUUGACAUGGAUCGGGAGUGCUCAGAGAUGGGUGUGCCUCUUUUGGGGUCGGUUCACAGGUGGUGCAUGCCUGUCGUCAGCUCGUGUCGUGAGAUGUUGGGUUAAGUCCCGCAACGAGCGCAACCCUUGUUCACUGUUGCCAGCACGUUAUGGUGGGGACUCAGUGGAGACCGCCGGGGUCAACUCGGAGGAAGGUGGGGAUGACGUCAAGUCAUCAUGCCCCUUAUGUCCAGGGCUUCACGCAUGCUACAAUGGCUGGUACAGAGAGUGGCGAGCCUGUGAGGGUGAGCGAAUCUCGGAAAGCCGGUCUCAGUUCGGAUUGGGGUCUGCAACUCGACCUCAUGAAGUCGGAGUCGCUAGUAAUCGCAGAUCAGCAACGCUGCGGUGAAAAGGUUCCCGGGGCU